rnacentral:rRNA from 1 species
UACGAAGGGGGCUAGCGUUGCUCGGAAUUACUGGGCGUAAAGCGUGUGUAGGCGGUCUUGUAAGUCGGGUGUGAAAGCCCUGGGCUCAACCCAGGAAGUGCACUCGAUACUGCGAGGCUAGAGUAUCGGAGAGGUUGGUGGAAUUCUCGGUGUAGAGGUGAAAUUCGUAGAUAUCGAGAGGAACACCGGUGGCGAAGGCGGCCAACUGGACGAAUACUGACGCUGAGACACGAAAGCGUGGGGAGCAAACAGG